UGUGUAGAACAAGGAAGUGCAGCGUGAGGCGAACUGAUUACAAACAAUUGCUGGCAAUCGCGGAUUACAACAAGUAGGAGGACGACUGGACUCUGCAGUGACUCAUUGUUUUAACAUGAGAGUCCUCAUUUUGUUCUAUGAAUGAAAUCAUCUCUGUUGGGCUUUAAUAAUUAGUUUGUAUUUCAUUAUCGCGCUUAAUCAAAAACGGGAGUAAACUUGCAGAUUAUUAUUGUGCAAAAUGAAUGUAUCAAAUUAUGUGACACUGUGUAAUUAUUUUCUUAUAUAUGUUUUUUAGUAUGGCUCAUCACAACAUUAAAAGCACACUGCUGGUCCGGGUGCUAAGUUGAUGAAUUAAAGGUAUGCUAUUUUGGGUUGACACUUUUUUAAGAAAUGUAAUUAAUAUGUUUUUGAUAUUGAUUUAAAGUCUUGUUUAUUUCUCUAGGACUUGGAAUUAACUAAAAACUGUCACUGUUUUUCCCCACUUUCAUAUUUACUUAAUUGUUUAUUUUUAGAAGUAGUUUCAAAUUAGAUACUUUGACGGGCCGCGGGCAAUAGACUUUGUGGGCGAAGUGCAAUUCAUGAAUUCAUAGUAACUCUGAAAGCCUUGAUCCCUUUUGCUGUCUUUAUUAAUUUGUAGUGUUAUGCAUGAAUUAUUUGCUGCGUGAGCAGGUGAAGUUAGUGAUUUUUAGGGAGUGUUGUUAAAUGUGUAAGUUGGAUCUUGAGUGUGAUUAGGAGCAGUGAUUUUUUGAUAGUUGUGUAUAUAGAUUGUAUAUUGCAAAGGUUUAUUUUUUACAUCUGAAGUAACCACUGGAAUGUUCCGUUUUAGUUCACAAACUUCCAGGUUGACACAAAGUGAGUUGAAUUUGAAACAUACAUUUGUAGAUGUUCUGACUAAAUGUUAGUCAGUGAGUCACACAAUGUGCCUUAAUCAUUAUUGUCAAGCAGAGUGGAGGUAGAAAAAAAAAAAAAAAAAAAAGCACCAAAUCACUCAUGAAUGAUUUGACAUCGUGUCCCGGCAAAAUGGGCACCCUAAGGUUCCAUGCUAAUUUAGACUAUUGAAGAACAGGUAAGUGUUUUUAUGAUUCUACCGUUCCUCUUAUGUCUUGAAUCUGAAUGUCAUCUUCAAAUGUCUGCAAAUGAACUUUGUUUUGCUCACGUAUAUUUGCGUGUACAUUUUCAAUAAAGAUGUUUUUGAUAACUAAAGGA